UUGCCGCAGAACUUUCUGGUAAACGCAUCAUCCAGUUUGAAAGCGAGUCAUAGCGGGAAGAGAACAUAAAUAAAGUACUUUGAGUAGAUUUUCUUUAGGGCUAAAUUACAGAUCCCUAUUAGAUCG